GCCUUAUGCUCAGCUGGUGAGAGUGUGUUUCUGAUAACGCCAAGGUUGCAGGUUUGAUCCCCGUAUGGGACA